UACGGGGGGAGCAAGCGUUGUUCGGAUUUACUGGGCGUAAAGGGCGCGUAGGCGGUCGUGACAAGUCACUUGUGAAAUCUCCGGGCUUAACUCGGAACGGUCAAGUGAUACUGUCGGACUAGAGUACAGAAGGGGCAACUGGAAUUCUCGGUGUAGCGGUGAAAUGCGUAGAUAUCGAGAGGAGCACCUGCGGCGAAGGCGGGUAGCUGGGCCGACACUGACGCUGAGGCGCGAAAGCCAGGGGAGCGAACGGG
rnacentral:rRNA from 1 species